UCACGUCGUCCGAUGGAGCCCAGCUUGCUGUCGGAUUAGUGGCGAACGGGUGAGUAACACGUGAUAACCUGCCCUUAACUCUGGGAUAAGCCUGGGAAACUGGGUCUAAUACCGGAUAGGAGCGUCCACCGCAUGGGGUGUUGGAAAGAUUUAUCGGUUUUGGAUGGACUCGCGGCCUAUCAGCUUGUUGGUGAGGUAAUGGCUCACCAAGGCGACGACGGGUAGCCGGCCUGAGAGGGUGACCGGCCACACUGGGACUGAGACACGGCCCAGACUCCUACGGGAGGCAGCAGUGGGGAAUAUUGCACAAUGGGCGCAAGUGAUGCAGCGACGCGCGUGAGGGAUGACGGCCUUCGGGUUGUAAACCUCUUUCAGUAGGGAAGAAGCGAAAGUGACGGUACCUGCAGAAGAAGCACCGGCUAACUACGUGCCAGCAGCCGCGGUAAUACGUAGGGUGCGAGCGUUAUCCGGAAUUAUUGGGCGUAAAGAGCUCGUAGGCGGUUUGUCGCGUCUGUCGUGAAAGUCCGGGGCUUAACCCCGAUCUGCGGUGGGUACGGGCAGACUAGAGUGCAGUAGGGGAGACUGGAAUUCCUGGUGUAGCGGUGGAAUGCGCAGAUAUCAGGAGGAACACCGAUGGCGAAGGAGGUCUCUGGGCUGUAACUGACGCUGAGGAGCGAAAGAUGGGGAGCGAACAGGAUUAGAUACCCUGGUAGUCCAUGCCGUAAACGUUGGGCACUAGGUGUGGGGACCAUUCCACGGUUUCCGCGCCGCAGCUAACGCAUUAAGUGCCCCGCCUGGGAGUACGGCCGCAAGUAAAACUCAAAGGAAUUGACGGGGGGCCCGCACAAGCGCGGAGAUGCGGGAUUAAUUCGAUGCAACGCGAAGAACCUUACCAAGGCUUGACAUGUUCUCGAUCG
rnacentral:rRNA from 1 species